UAGCAGUCGAGCGGACAGAAGGGAGCUUGCUCCCGGAUGUUAGCGGCGGACGGGUGAGUAACACGUGGGUAACCUGCCUGUAAGACUGGGAUAACUCCGGGAAACCGGAGCUAAUACCGGAUAGUUCCUUGAACCGCAUGGUUCAAGGAUGAAAGACGGUUUCGGCUGUCACUUACAGAUGGACCCGCGGCGCAUUAGCUAGUUGGUGAGGUAACGGCUCACCAAGGCGACGAUGCGUAGCCGACCUGAGAGGGUGAUCGGCCACACUGGGACUGAGACACGGCCCAGACUCCUACGGGAGGCAGCAGUAGGGAAUCUUCCGCAAUGGACGAAAGUCUGACGGAGCAACGCCGCGUGAGUGAUGAAGGUUUUCGGAUCGUAAAGCUCUGUUGUUAGGGAAGAACAAGUGCAAGAGUAACUGCUUGCACCUUGACGGUACCUAACCAGAAAGCCACGGCUAACUACGUGCCAGCAGCCGCGGUAAUACGUAGGUGGCAAGCGUUGUCCGGAAUUAUUGGGCGUAAAGGGCUCGCAGGCGGUUUCUUAAGUCUGAUGUGAAAGCCCCCGGCUCAACCGGGGAGGGUCAUUGGAAACUGGGAAACUUGAGUGCAGAAGAGGAGAGUGGAAUUCCACGUGUAGCGGUGAAAUGCGUAGAGAUGUGGAGGAACACCAGUGGCGAAGGCGACUCUCUGGUCUGUAACUGACGCUGAGGAGCGAAAGCGUGGGGAGCGAACAGGAUUAGAUACCCUGGUAGUCCACGCCGUAAACGAUGAGUGCUAAGUGUUAGGGGUUUCCGCCCCUUAGUGCUGCAGCUAACGCAUUAAGCACUCCGCCUGGGGAGUACGGUCGCAAGACUGAAACUCAAAGGAAUUGACUGGGGCCCGCACAAGCAGU
rnacentral:rRNA from 1 species